UCAAGGAAGAAAGGGCGUACGGAGAAUGCCUGGGCACAGAGAGGCGAUGAAGGACGCAGCGAACAGCGAAAUGCGGCGGCGAGCGGUAAGCACGCGAUGACCCGCCGAUAUCCGAAUGGGGAAACCCCUCCGCUCAAGAAGCGGAGACCGCAUGACGACCGUCAUGACGGGGCAAUACGCAGGGAACUGAAACAUCUAAGUACCUGCAGGAAGAGAAAGAGAAGUCGAUUCCGUAAGUAGCGGCGAGCGAAAGCGGAGGAGCCCAAACCGGACACAGUCCGGGGUUGUAGGACCGCCGAUAAAGAUGACAUGAAGAGUCAGGAGAAUCCCAUGGGAAGGGGAUCCGAAGAGGGUGAGAGACCCGUAUCCGAAGGCUCGACAUGCGUCGAGGCGGCACCUGAGUACGGCGGGGCACGUGGAAUCCUGCCGGAAUCAUCGGGGACCAUCCCGAAAGGCUAAACACUACUCUGUGACCGAUAGCGAACCAGUACCGUGAGGGAAAGGUGAAAAGAACCCCGGGAGGGGAGUGAAAGAGAACCUGAAACCGCAUGCCCACAAGAAGUCAGAGCCCGUCAAAGGGUGAUGGCGUGCCUUUUGUAGAAUGAGCCGGCGAGUCACGAUCAGCAGGCGAGGUUAAGCAGGAGAUGCGGAGCCGCAGCGAAAGCGAGUCUUAAGAGGGCGAAAUAGUCUGAGGUCGUGGACCCGAAACCGGGUGAUCUAGCCAUGAGCAGGUUGAAGUCGGGGUAAGACCCGAUGGAGGACCGAACCGACCCCCGUUGAAACGUUGGCGGAUGACUUGUGGCUAGGGGUGAAAUUCCAAUCGAACCCGGAGAUAGCUGGUUCUCCCCGAAAUAGCUUUAGGGCUAGCGUCGCAGCGAGAGAGCCGUGAAGGUAGAGCACUGAAUAUGCGAUGGCCGCAUCCCGCGGUACUGAGCAUAAUCAAACUCCGAAUGUCACGGUGUCAUCUGCGGCAGUCAGACGGCGAGUGAUAAGGUCCGUCGUCAAGAGGGAAACAGCCCAGACCAUCAGCUAAGGUCCCAAAGUGCAUGCUAAGUGGAAAAGGAAGUGGAGACGUGCAGACAACUAGGAGGUUGGCUCAGAAGCAGCCAUCCUUCAAAGAGUGCGUAACAGCUCACUAGUCGAAUGACUCUGCGCCGAUAAUUUACCGGGGCUAAGCAUGACACCGAAGCUAUGGACAGGAAUGUGGUAGGGGAGCAUUGCAUGCAGCGGAGAAGCAUGACCGGGAGGGCAUGUGGAGCGCAUGGAAGAGAGAAUGCCGGCGUGAGUAGCGGCACGUGGGUGAGAAUCCCACGCACCGAUGGCCCAAGGUCUCCAGAGGAAGGCUCGUCCUCUCUGGGAUAGUCGGGACCUAAGGCGAGGCCGAAAGGCGUAGCCGAUGGACGACGGGUGGAUAUUCCCGUACCCGAUGUGUGGCGAUGGAGUGACGGAGAAGGCUCAGGCAACCAGCUGCUGGAAUAGCUGGGGCAAGCGAGAUACCUGCGCACCAGGGAAAUCCGGUGCGCAUAAGGGGAAGGCGCGAUGCAUACGGAAAGCUUCGGCAAGUACGGAAAAGCUGAGAGCAGGCUUCCAGGAAAAGCUUCUAGCACAACACACAUCGGCCCGUACCGAAAAUGGACACACAUGGGCAAGGAGAGAAUCCUGAGGUGAGCGAGAGAACUAUAGCUAAGGAACUCUGCAAAAUGACCCCGUAACUUAGGGAGAAGGGGUGCUCCAGAAAUGGAGCCGCAGUAAAACGGCCCAAGCGACUGUUUACCAAAAACACAGCUCUCUGCGAAGGCGCAAGCCGAAGUAUAGGGGGUGACGCCUGCCCGGUGCUGGAAGGUCAAGGGGAGCUGUCAGCGCAAGCGAAGCAGCGAACCGAAGCCCCAGUAAACGGCGGCCGUAACUAUAACGGUCCUAAGGUAGCGAAAUUCCUUGUCGGGUAAGUUCCGACCCGCACGAA
rnacentral:rRNA from 1 species